GUCUACGGCAUACCACCCUGAACACGCCUGAUCUCAUCUGAUCUCAGAAGCCAAGUGGUCCAGGAGGUGGCGCAGUGGAGA
rnacentral:rRNA from 1 species